AUCCGGGAGACACACGGUGGGUGCUAACGUCCAUCGUGAAGAGGGAAACAACCCAGACCGCCAGCUAAGGUCCCCAAAUUCCAGUUAAGUGGGAAACGAUGUGGGAAGGCUCAGACAGCUAGGAGGUUGGCUUAGAAGCAGCCACCCUUUAAAGAAAGCGUAAUAGCUCACUAGUCGAGUCGGCCUGCGCGGAAGAUGUAACGGGGCUCAAACUGGAUACCGAAGCUGCGGAUAUGCACUUAGUGCAUGUGGUAGGGGAGCGUUGUGUAAG
rnacentral:rRNA from 1 species